AAGACUAUACUUUCAGGGAUCAUUUCUACAGUUUCUGACUAGAGAAAUGUGUUUCUUAAAUGUUUGGUCUCGCUAACUACGAUGAUGAUAGGUUAUAUUCCUUCCUGAGCGUGAAGUGGACAGAGAGUAGCGAUUCUUUCGCACGUUCUCUGUCGUUGAUGAACGUUCAACACUUCUUUGCGGAAGUAUUGAUGGGAGGAAUGUGAUCAGAGUAGU